UGAGUACGAGAUGCUACGGCAUCGAAGCAGUCUAUGUCAUACUUCCAAGAAAAGCUUGCACUGUCAUAAACAAAGAAUGCCUGUACCAUAACCGACACAGGUGGGUAGGUAGAGUAUACUAAGGGGCGCGAGAUAACUCUCUCUAAGGAACUCGGCAAAAUGACUCCGUAACUUCGGGAGAAGGAGUGCCUUAUUUCUAAGGUUGCAAUAACAAGAUCCAAGCAACUGUUUACCAAAAACACAGGUCUCCGCUAAGUCGUAAGACGAUGUAUGGGGGCUGACGCCUGCCCAGUGCCAGAAGGUUAAAGAAGUUGGUUAGCAUUAGCGAAGCUGAUAACUGAAGCCCUGGUGAACGGCGGCCGUAACUAUAACGGUCCUAAGGUAGCGAAAUUCCUUGUCGGGUAAGUUCCGACCCGCACGAAAGGCGUAAUGAUUUGGAUACUGUCUCGGAGAGGGGCUCGGUGAAAUAGACUUGUCUGUGAAGAUGCGGACUACCUGCACCUGGACAGAAAGACCCUAUGAAGCUUUACUGUAACUUGAGAUUGAAAUUGGACUUUAUUUGCGCAGUAUAGGUGGGAGGCGUUGAGAAUAAUCUUGCGGGAUUGUUGGAGCCAUCAGUGAGAUACCACUCUUGUAAUGUUAGAUUUCUAACUUUGUAUCAUUAUCUGGUCAAAGAACAGUUUCAGGCGGGCAGUUUGACUGGGGCGGUCGCCUCCCAAAGGGUAACGGAGGCGCACAAAGGUUUCCUCUGAACGGGUAGAAAUCGUAUCUAGAGUGUAAAGGCAUAAGGAAGCUUGACUGUGAGACCUACAAGUCGAGCAGGGACGAAAGUCGGUCUUAGUGAUCUGACGGUGCUGAGUGGAAAGGCCGUCACUCAACGGAUAAAAGUUACUCUAAGGAUAACAGGCUGAUCUCCCCCAAGAGUUCACAUCGACGGGGAGGUUUGGCACCUCGAUGUCGGCUCAUCGCAUCCUGGGGCGGUAGUCCGUCCCAAGGGUUGGGCUGUUCGCCCAUGAAAGCGGUACGCGAGCUGGGUUCAGAACGUCGUGAGACAGUUCGGUCCAUAUCCGGUGUAGGCGUUAGAAUAUUGAGAGGAGCCUUCUCUAGUACGAGAGGACCGAGAAGGACAUACCUCUGGUGUACCAGUUAUCGUGCCAACGGUAAACGCUGGGUAGCUAUGUAUGGAGUGGAUAACCGCUGAAAGCAUCUAAGUGGGAAGCCCACCUCAAGAUAAGUAUUCUCAC
rnacentral:rRNA from 1 species